UACGUAGGGCGCAAGCGUUAUCCGGAAUUAUUGGGCGUAAAGAGCUCGUAGGCGGUUUGUCGCGUCUGCCGUGAAAGUCCGGGGCUCAACUCCGGAUCUGCGGUGGGUACGGGCAGACUAGAGUGAUGUAGGGGAGACUGGAAUUCCUGGUGUAGCGGUGAAAUGCGCAGAUAUCAGGAGGAACACCGAUGGCGAAGGCAGGUCUCUGGGCACUAACUGACGCUGAGACGCGAAAGCGUGGGGAGCAAACAGG
rnacentral:rRNA from 1 species